rfam:Oryza sativa Japonica Group DNA, chromosome 4, cultivar: Nipponbare, complete sequence.
AAAAAGGCAAACCCUGAGUUUCCAUGUCCAACUUUGACUGUCUAUCUUAUAUGAAAAUUUUUUAUAAUUCGUAUUUUCAUUGUUGUUAGAUGAGAAAACAUGAUUAAUAUUUUAUGCGUGACUUGUCUUUUUAAUUUUUUUCAUAAUUUUUUUAAAUAAGACGGACGGUCAAACGUUGGGCACAGAAAUUAGGGUUUGUCUUUUU